CCGGCGGUCUAUCAUGCAGUCGAGCGGAUUGAUGGGAGCUUGCUCCCUGAUAUCAGCGGCGGACGGGUGAGUAACACGUGGGUAACCUGCCUGUAAGACUGGGAUAACUCCGGGAAACCGGGGCUAAUACCGGAUAACUCAUUUCCUCGCAUGAGGAAAUGUUGAAAGAUGGCUUCUUGCUAUCCCUUACAAAGGGACCCGCGGCGCAUUACCUAGUUGGGGAGGUACCGGCUCACCAAGGCACCAAUGCGUAGCCAACCUGAAAGGGUGAUCGGCCACACGGGAACUGAAACCCGGCCCAAACCCCUACGGGAGGCAGCAGUAGGGAACCUUCCGCAUGGGACAAAAGUCGGACGAACCAACGCCGCGGGAGGGAUGAAGGUUUUCGAAUCGUAAAGUUCUGUGGUUAGGGAAGACCAUGAACCGUUCGAAUAGGGGGGUCCCUGGACGGAACUUACCCGGAAUACCACGGCUAACUACUGGCCAGAACCGGCGAAAUUACUUAGGUGGCUACGGUUUACCG
rnacentral:rRNA from 1 species